rnacentral:lncRNA from 1 species
GGGAGGCAGAGUGAUAUAAAGACCUUCAUGGACAGGAAAAUGGAAUAUCAACCUCAAACGGCAUAAAGGAAAAUUCACUGGAAAGAGGAAAUAUCAGAUGCUUCCAUUGAAGUCUCACCCAGCUCCUGGAAAAGUGUCAGUCAAUCUUCUGUGCAUCAUGUCUGUCUGACACCAAAUAUUCAGGUUCUCUACAUAUCAAGGUAUUAGCACAGAGAGACUGAAUCUUAAUUUGACCAGAGCAUCUAGGAAAUCAAAAU